UACGUAGAAGACUAGUGUUAGUCAUCUUUAUUAGGUUUAAAGGGUACCUAGACGGUAAAUUAAACUCUAAAUGAGUACUUUUUUACUAGAGUUUUAUGUGAGAAGGAAGAACUUCUGGAGUAGGGAUAAAAUACGCAAAUACCAGAAGGACUGAUAACGGCGAAGGCGUCCUUCUAUGUAAAAACUGACGUUGAGGGACGAAGGCUCGGGUAGCGAUAAGGAUUAGAAACCCGAGUAGU
rnacentral:rRNA from 1 species